GAUGUGGAUUAAUUCGAUGCAACGCGAAAACCUUACUACCCUUGACAUGUCCGGAAUCCCGAAGAGAUUUUGGGAGUGCUCGCAAGAGAGCCGGAACACAGGUGCUGCAUGGCUGUCGUCAGCUCGUGUCGUAAGAUGUUGGGUUAAGUCCCGCAACGAGCGCAACCCUUGUCAUUAGUUGCCAUCAUUUGGUUGGGCACUCUAAUGAGACUGCCGGUGACAAACCGGAGGAAGGUGGGGAUGACGUCAAGUCCUCAUGGCCCUUAUGGGUAGGGCUUCACACGUCAUACAAUGGUCGGUACAGAGGGUUGCCAACCCGCGAGGGGGAGCUAAUCCCACAAAGCCGAUCGUAGUCCGGAUCGCAGUCUGCAACUCGACUGCGUGAAGUCGGGAAUCGCUAGUAAUCGUGGAUCAGCACGUCACGGUGAAUACGUUCCCGGGUCUU
rnacentral:rRNA from 1 species